AUUUACAUUUCUACAUUCUCGCGAUAGCUGAAAAGCGUAGGUUUAACUCAUUUGUCAUUUACCAGUCGCUUUGGUCAUUUAUCAGAAACUCUUUUUCCAACAAUUUUCCAAAACGGAGCAGGUCCUCAAUUGGGAUGUUUUUUUUUCUAAAGUGGUAAAUAAUAUAUUAACUGAAUGUUCUGCAUCGUAUGGACUAAUAGACAACAAGUUCUUCUUCAGCGGGCCUAGCAUGACCGCCAUAGAAACAGCUUUUGUCUACCGGAGAAUCGACAAAAUGACAGAUUGAAGAAAGAUUUCUAUCGACCCGAGCAUGGCGAUGUUUGACAUCGAGAAAAGAAAUGUUUCUUUUCUUCGUCGACAUGUGUCUAUCGCGUCGAGCAUGACGACUAUAUUUUCUCUACUUUUGACAUUUGGGAGUAGAUAUAACUUUCUAUAUGAAAUGUCAAAUACUCUACAUCUCAUCGGACCUAGACAAGAGUAGACAAGAAUAUUAUUAUAAUUUUAAGAUCUCAAAAAGCAUUUACAAAGUAUGUCGGGGUCCUACCGUCGUCAUGUGGUCAGUUUUUAUGCUGAGAAGAAUCAGUGUAAAGCUCAAAGAACGAGCUAUGCGAGUGUUAAGCCUCUCGACAUUGAAAACGUAAAUGUGCAGAGAUGGUGCAGUAUUUAUGCCAGGAAUCUGUCUCCUAGGAUAUCUCAGGGUCUGCCUGUUCUUAUCAAUGUUGUUUGUUCGGGUCCUGCUUAGGUCAUUAACAACAUUACUAACCACUGUUAGCAAAUUUUUUAAGCAAUUUGUUUUUGCAGUGAAUACAAGGGUGCCUAUGCUACAACUCUUCCCGAAGAAAGGCAGAGAGAGAGACACACUAAUGACCUUAGCGGUAGCUUACUACAAGCUGCAACUCACAGAAGAGCAACUAUUAUGAAUAUCUUUGUAUAUCAACAGUUAUUCAAACCAUACAGACAGAAUUGAGUUGCUGGGGAGUUUGUUCCACCGCUUCUGCUGCUGAUUUUCAGCCUAUUUUGAAUAAAUGACUUUAUCUGUAGCCUUAAUUUUAUGUAAAUAAAC